AGUCCAGUAAGCUAAGUCAAGCUCCCGGGCCCAUACCCCGGUUAUGUUGGUUAAAGUCCCUCCUGAACUA
rnacentral:tRNA from 1 species